rnacentral:rRNA from 1 species
CCUACGGGGAGCUGCAGUGGGGAAUAUUGCACAAUGGGGGAAACCCUGAUGCCGCGACGCCGCGUGAGUGAAGAAGUAUUUCGGUACGUAAAGCUCUAUCAGCAGGGAAGAAAAUGACGGUACCUGACUAAGAAGCCCCGGCUAACUACGUGACAGCAGCCGCGGUAAUACGUAGGGGGCAAGCGUUAUCCGGAUUUACUGGGUGUAAAGGGAGCGUAGACGGCAGCGCAAGUCUGGAGGGAAAUCCCAUGGCUUAACCAUGGAACUGCUUUGGAAACUGUGCAGCUAGAGUGCAGGAGAGGUAAGCGGAAUGCCUAGUGUAGCGGUGAAAUGCGUAGAUAUUAGGAGGAACACCAGUGGCGAAGGCGGCUUACUGGACUGUAACUGACGUUGAGGCUCGAAAGCGUGGGGAGCAAACAGGAUUAGAUACCCCUGUAGUC